ACGACCAUACCACAUUGAAAACAGCGGUUCUCGUCCGAUCACCGAAGUUAAGCAAUGUCGGGCCUGGUCAGUACUUGGGAGGGUGACCACCUGGGAACACCGGGUGUAGCUGUAGGCU
rnacentral:rRNA from 1 species